AUACGUAGGGGGCGAGCGUUGUCCGGAAUGAUUGGGCGUAAAGGGCGCGUAGGCGGCGCGGUAAGUCUGGAGUGAAAGUCCUGCUUUCAAGGUGGGAAUUGCUUUGGAUACUGCCGCGCUUGAGUGCAGGAGAGGUUAUCGGAAUUCCCGGUGUAGCGGUGAAAUGCGUAGAGAUCGGGAGGAACACCAGUGGCGAAGGCGGGUAACUGGACUGCAACUGACGCUGAGGCGCGAAAGUGUGGGGAGCAAACAGGAUUAGAUACCCUGGUAGUCCACACUGUAAACGAUGAAUGCUAGGUGUAAGAGGUAUCGACCCCUUUUGUGCCGGAGUCAACACAAUAAGCAUUCCGCCUGGGGAGUACGGCCGCAAGGU
rnacentral:rRNA from 1 species